CCCCUCUCAGGGUCACACCUGGAGAGUUUCCAGUGCUCUACCAGUCUCGACUACAGGAGGGAGAGUCAAGCAGAGGCAUAGCCAUUUCAUUCCUAACUUGGGCAGUGUCUAGCGAGUGGAAGGCAAUCUGCUACAUGU